GUACUACUUUCGAGUGUACAUAUGAAAAAAUUGGAACGAUAAUGAGAAGAUUAGCAUGCCCCUGCAAGGAUGACACGCACAAUUGUGAAGCCUUCUUCUAUUUU